rnacentral:pre_miRNA from 1 species
GAUCUACUCCCUCCGUUCGGAAUUACUUGUCGUAGGAAUGGAUGUAUCUAGACAUUUUUUAGUUCUAGAUACAUCCAUUUCUGCGACAAGUAAUUUGGAACGGAGGGAGUAAGUU